CAGGGAAUCUUGCGCAAUGGGCGAAAGCCUGACGCAGCAACGCCGCGUGGGGGAUGAAGGCCUUCGGGUUGUAAACCCCUUUCAGGAGGGAAGAAAUUGACGGUACCUCCAGAAGAAGCACCGGCCAACUACGUGCCAGCAGCCGCGGUAAUACGUAGGGUGCAAGCGUUAUCCGGAAUCAUUGGGCGUAAAGAGCUCGUAGGCGGUUCAGCAAGUCGGCUGUGAAAGUCCGAGGCUUAACCUCGGAACUGCAGUCGAUACUGCUGUGACUCGAGUCCGGUAGAGGAGAAUGGAAUUCCCGGUGUAGCGGUGAAAUGCGCAGAUAUCGGGAGGAACACCAGUAGCGAAGGCGGUUCUCUGGGCCGGCACUGACGCUGAGGAGCGAAAGCGUGGGGAGCAAACAGGAUUAGAUACCCCCGUAGUCC
rnacentral:rRNA from 1 species